UCGUUUUUGAGUGAUCGUCGGCUCACAUUCCCCUAAAAGUGCAAAACACAAAUUGUGGAUGAGAACGCUCCCUCCUUUUACGUCCGAAUCCAACGUCCCAAAUCUCUACUUGCCUUGAUCCUCUUUCGGUUACAAAACCCAUUAUCACCGAUAUCUCAUCGCAUUUAGUCCCGUCUUCUCCUCCAUCAACAAUACCAUUAUUUGUGCCAUUCAACCCCUUUGAUUCAUACAAUGAUAAUGAUGCGUUACAUUAGAAGAGUUAUCCUUUGAAAUUUUCCCUAUAUAAACCUCAACAGAAGUUAUCAUCUUCCCAGGUUUCUCUAUUUCUUUGUUCUGCAUGCUCUAUCAAGGCUAUUAGGGUUUUCCCCUUACCAUCGACAAUUCCAGGUAGAAUGUGCAGAAGAUUUGGGUUUUGAGUUUACCAAGAUUCAAUUCUGCCUUUUGAGCCAUAUCCCUUCCCUUUAUAUGAGGGAUAGGGAAGGGAUGCCUUCUCCCAUUGUGCUUGGCAUCAGUGAUUGUUUUUUACUCCAUUUUUGUGAAUGGUAAUUAAGGUAGUUCGACACACCAGAACCAUUCUGAUGCACUGCACAGGCAAAUUCACCCUCUCCUCAACCGACGUCAACAGAGUGUACACCAACAUUGACUUACCUGAAAUAUUCUAAUGUAAGAAAGGCUGCUAAUGUCGUUGUAUGUAAAGCCCGACCUGCACAUUGACAAAGUCACGACCAAUUAACCAGCUAACCAUUUCCCAGUUACUCUGUAUUUCGAAAUUACUUAUUGAGAAUGGUUGGUGUUAUCUUUCUUUCUAUGGGUGUAACAAGGAAGUUGUCUGAGGAUGCUGACCAUUGAUGCAUAAAAUGUACCUUAUCCACGUUGAAGUUGAUGAUGCAACCAUACUGCCGUUUUUUAUCACUCUUAAAAUCUGCUGGAAUCAUUGAAGAAAGCCGUGCUUUCAGGGUUCUCACACAAAUUCUUCACCAGGAAGAGGAUUUUCAAGGUUCUCAACAACUGCAAGGAUUUUUGUUAGUUACUUCCAAACCAAGAUCUUCUGCAAUUCUUACCUUUUAAAAGCGUCAACAUGAAAAUCUGAUAUUCUCACCUACUGAAGUUCUCAUUCACAAACUGUGACUACUACAAUCAUCUUCACAAAGGGCACAGUCAGUUGUAUCAGACAUGUACACAUUUGACGAACUUUACACAUGUUUUAUGAAGCUACUGGACGAGGUGGGGUGAUGGAUAUAGAGGAUGAGGAGGUGAAGUGGUGGUGCUUGACAACAAAAUGUACAAUUGACAUGUGGUAAUUUUAUGUGCAAGAAACUUUAGUAAACAUUUAUAAAAUAGCGACACAUUAUCUGUUUUGUAAAUUGCCUAUGUAUUGCUCACAUCGGGAGAACUUGAUCUAGGAAAUCACACGUUGCUACUUUUCUGAUUGCCUGUUCGAGGUAAUAAACAACGAUUAGGGUUGUGCAGUUAGUUACCCGGUAAGCAGUUAUCGUUCUAUUGCUCUAAAUCUAUGUGUGUAUACUAUACUAUUUGUUAAUUUACUCGAAUUAGAUA